UUCUAAAUAGUUUUGUAAUUUAUGAGGUGUACAAGACGAUAGAUGUGGUGACGAUCGUGUUCAUUAAAAGUAACUGAUUAAUCAUGACUAGAAAAUAGAAUUGAUACAAAUUAAUUUAACAUUUAUCCACACAAUGGAGUUGCACAAGUGUGCCUCUAACAAUGUAAUUUUUUCUAUUAAUAACACUAAAUGUUCUGCUUGCUUCUUGAAGGACAAGGCGGUUGUAGUAGCAGCAACAAAGGAACUUGGACCAUCACUGCUCAUCAAUCUUCUUUGUUUCGAUCACAGGUUCUCUCCGAGAAGCUUGCCCAAACUGAAAUAAAUAACAUGUGCCACAAAUUUAGCAAGUGAAUUGAAAAAAGUACCGAGUUCUGCACAUUAUUUAUAGGUUAUACAUGACCAUGUGUGUAUCUACAAGAAUCAUGCAAAUGUGUUGUGCAGGUUCCAAGGGGACUAUGAGUUUUAUGUAAUAUUAUACAUUUUGAUCAUUUGAUAUAUUGUACCAAAAAAAAGGAAAAAAAUAAACCUGAAUUCGAAAAGCUUUUCAGAGGCAAAUUUUCCCAUUACAUCUAUGCAAAAUUACAACUACUACCGCCGACAAUACGGUUUACCAAAAUUUUAACUUAACACCAUAAAAAUCUACAACUCCAACAGCGGAAGCUAAAAUAAAUAAAUAGUUACUUAUGAUUAUUAGCACAGGGACUGCGGAAAAAAAGUGUAUCCAUAGACAAGUUCACCAAUCCUGUCAUCAAAUUUGCCUGCACGACUGAUACGCUCAAAUAUUAGUUUUGUACCUUGAGAUUUGAGUUAGAAAUCAGCCUUCUCAUCAUCCAAAGGUCUAAAACCACAAUUUCUGUCCCUUCAUUGUUUUAUACAUUCAGACCAACCUCAUCAAAUCAGCUAAACCCUUUUCUCCUUUUUCAUUUUGCAGCUGAAGCAUUCCGGCCAAACUGGAUAAUCAUGGGUUUGCGGCGUUUGCCUUUGAAUACAUAGCCGUACACUAAAUUCUUCAACCAAGAGUUGAACUUAAAAGUAGGAGUUAAUGAAUGACAAUGAAUGAAGAUACAUCUGCCUAAUUUCACUGGCAAAUAGAUAUGUCAUGUUUAUGUUGAUUAGCAAACUGUACAAGCAUAAGGAACCUCCAAAAUAAAGCUGCAAAAUCCAACAAAUUCUUCGUGCAGUGUAAAUGUGAAGAACAGUGUUCUCCCAAAUUGAGAUAGACUAGUAAAUAUGUACUAUAAACAAUAAAUUUCAACUUGGGAAAAAUAUGGAACAAGAUGCAUACCAAGCAGUCAGUUUGUCAAUGAUCACAUAUAUUCAAUGCUUUACGAGGUAACAGUUAUCUAUAUAAUGAACCAACUUCAUUUAAAUACCAAUUAGGGUGCCCUUAAAGUAUCCUUCCAUUUUAAAACUCAAACCUAGUGUUCCAAUCUGCUAUGAACCUCCAUCAAGUUGUACCAGAUGUUACGGUUACAAUAAGCAUGGUAUCUACAAAAAUAACUGAAACAGGAAUCUUAGGCUGCAUUACACAAGAAACAUACCAAGACGUGAUGAGCAAGUUCAACAGAUGGGAAUGUAAGAAAAGCUUGACCCCUCAUUCUUCCCUCCUGAAAUCCAAAAGGAAAUGCAAUUAUUUCCAGCAUCAAAUUUAAUCCACCGAGCGACUUCACUCUGGAAUUCUGGAUUCAAAUGCUGGUGUGUAUAUCAGAAUCUCAAGAGCAAGUCAAAAUACCAUGCCCAAAGCUUGGUUUUGUAACCAAGACAAAUCUUAAUGUGAUGACAAAAUACCGGUGCAAGUUCAUUCAAUAACGUACUGAGACCAUGCUGGCUGGCCUACUAGUAAAGGAAUUACACCACUUACUAGAGGUCUGUUCAAGUCUCAUUUUGGUGGGGAGAGGUUUUGGACACGAAGGCAUCCCGUGUAACCUAAGCGUGUUGGAUUUAUAUAAAGGAAAAAGUGUUAAGAAAAAAACCAAAGUAGAGACUUUUCAGCAACAGUUGUUAAAUAAGAUACCAUGUAACUCAGUAGCUAUCAAUGUCUCUGUGUUUGUAUGAUGAAUUGAACCGCGCAUUGCACAAUAAACUAAUGAGACACAAUGCCAAUGGUUUUGUACGUACGAAUGAACAAGAAAGAGGGACCGUGAAACUUGAUUCACAAAACACUCAAAUUAAGAUCUUUUUCCAGGAAAAACAUCAGAAUCGCCAGCAACACUGUUGCCUCCGCCGGUAACAUUUAUAGUCAGCGGCUGAAUCAGCAGGUCAGGGCAAAACGGCCGCUUCCCCCGAUACCCGGUACCCAAUUAACAACAAGCUUGAGCGAUUUCUGAAAAAUUCUCGCCAUUUUCAGAGAAGAACAUGCCGGAUCGAUUUCUCACUUUGGGGGAGAAGAGCAUGAGCGAUUUCUGAUUUGGGAAGAAACUCGAUUUUGAUUUGGGAGGAGAAAAGCUUUAAAACAAAUUUGACAGAAUGGCACCGUUUUAAUGUACUGUGUAAAAAAAAUUUUCAAGGUUGUGUACAGCCAUUUUCCCCAUGUAGUAAUAGUGUAGUUUAAAAAUAAGAAUCCCUUCUAUUCCCUUUCAAUACUUCUAAACUCACAAACAACAGAAAAUUUAAUUAAAAUCUCAUCCCAUCCGUAGCUUCCUUUUUAAAACUCACAAACAUGACAAAGGAAAACUAUAAUCCCUUCUUAUCCCUUCCCUCCUAUACUUUCCCUUCACAUCCCAUCCCUCCAUACUCCCAACAAACGCAGUAGUGGAGAUAAAUUGAAUAACAAAAAUUUGUAUCCAUUUUUCAUGAUGCAAACCUUGCAAAUGCGCUGGGAAAAUGUUUGCACUCUCCCCUCAUUGGGCAUGCAUUGCAGUUUGGCUUUCUCUUUGUACAGAAAACAUACAGAUUUGAGGGAUAUGUUCACCAUUAGAGUUUUAUAUAGAUAAGCGAAAAGUCAGAAAAAGUGAUAGUAACACAAUAAAUAAUUAAGAGAGAGUAGCUUUCCAAAUGUAAUUGAAUGAUAAUGCAAUUCAUACCUGCAAAUAGAUAAAUUAUGAAAUCAUUAAUUAAGAUAUAUUUGAAUUUUGAAGCCAAUGAAGAUAAGUGAUAGCAAAUAAUAUGGUAGAGGAAACAGGAAUUACAUUUUCGCUUGUCCAAGGGUGCACAAUCGCGGAUAAAGAUAUUUUUGAAUGGUAUCCACCAUAGGGUACCUAUAUGGAAGGAACAUCGAAUUAGUCCUCCUUGAAAAUUCAGUUCUAUUUAUUAGCUGGAUUGAAUGCUUACGAUUCUAGAAGAUGUAA
rnacentral:lncRNA from 1 species